rnacentral:rRNA from 1 species
CAGCAGCCACGGGAAUACGUAGGGCGCAAGCGUUAUCCGGAAUUAUUGGGCGUAAAGAGCUCGUAGGCGGUUUGUCGCGUCUGCCGUGAAAGUCCGGGGCUCAACCCCGGAUCUGCGGUGGGUACGGGCAGACUAGAGUGAUGUAGGGGAGACUGGAAUUCCUGGUGUAGCGGUGAAAUGCGCAGAUAUCAGGAGGAACACCGAUGGCGAAGGCAGGUCUCUGGGCAUUAACUGACGCUGAGGAGCGAAAGCAUGGGGAGCGAACAGGAUUAGAUACCCCUGUAGUCCCUGUCUCUUAUAC